rnacentral:rRNA from 2 species
GUAACGGCGAGUGAAGCGGUAACAGCUCAAAUUUGAAAUCUGGCUCUUUCAGGGUCCGAGUUGUAAUUUGCAGAAGAUGCUUCGGGUGUGGCUCCGGUCUAAGUUCCUUGGAACAGGACGUCAUAGAGGGUGAGAAUCCCGUAUGUGACCGGCGGCCUUCGCCCGUGUGAAGCUCUUUCGACGAGUCGAGUUGUUUGGGAAUGCAGCUCUAAAUGGGUGGUAUAUUUCAUCUAAAGCUAAAUAUGGGCCAGAGACCGAUAGCGCACAAGUAGAGUGAUCGAAAGAUGAAAAGCACUUUGGAAAGAGAGUUAAACAGUACGUGAAAUUGUUGAAAGGGAAGCGCUUGCAACCAGACUUGUCCCCCGUCGAUCAUCCCCCGUUCUCGGAGGUGUACUCGGCGGGGUUCAGGCCAGCAUCGGUUUCGGUGGUGGGAUAAAGGCCUUGGGAACGUAGCUCCUCUCGGGGAGUGUUAUAGCCCUCGGUGCAAUGCCGCCUACCGGGACCGAGGACCGCGCUUCGGCUAGGAUGCUGGCGUAAUGGUUG